GUGUGAAAAAUCACAUAGAAAGACUUUAACAAUUGUUUUUUUUUGAUGAAGAUAUCAGUCCAUCUUUAUGUGAAAUGAACUUAAAGGUUUUCUACAUUUUUUUUACAUGAGGGUUUGAAUCAUUGAGAGUUUGAAUAGAAAAGAUCUUUAUUGUCAUUGCUAUAAAAAACAGUUUAGCAGCUCUUCUCAGCUACAAUAUUAAUAAUGUAAAGACAACAUUCACAGCUGUUUGUAAAGGUGAAUCAGCUGUGCAACUCGCCAUCAGUACAUGGCAUCCAUAGACUGUUAAUGGACGAAGAACCCAUCUGUUACUGCAGAGGGCUUUGGAGUCCCAUUUGUGGCGGUCUCCAUGCUGGAAAUGCCGUCUCACCCUAACUUACAGUCAACCUAAGGACAGCCUGAGAGUUGGAGCUGAGGCAGGUUCUGAGCCUCAUGAAAGUAUGUGAGUUGCACCUGGGCCUCCGGCGUCUGCAGCCCCGGGCUCUCUGACAGCUUGACAGCUCAGUGCUUCGCUCUUGUGAGAGAAGUUUUCCUUCCUGCACAUAGACGACAACUCACUGCUUUAUUCUUGUUCUUUACGUCGAGCAGGGAAAAAUAAUUUCGGUAUUCCCGAGACAGAAAGCUCACGGCUGAAUGGUCACUGUCAUGUUUGUUUACAGCGUGCAAUGUUCUUUCUCCCAGGAUGCUACUGCGCUGACGUUAGCGUAACCUCGCCCGCUUUUUGUCAGCUGUUUAGCAUAAAGUAAACGAGUAACGAGUGCUUUUAAACGUCAGUUAUUGUUUUGCUGUUAUUGAAUCUGGAACGUAACUAAUUAAUUACUAGUUACCGCAAAUAGUAGUGGUGUAACCAUAGGGUGUAACAGUAAUGCAUUACUUAGCAACGUCCCAACACUGGUGACAGGAGCAGUGUUUGGUUAGUUCCCAAACUGGCGACCCCUAUCAUUGUUCGAUUCCUGGGGGGGAACGUAAUACCCUUACGAUGAAGUUAACGCAGCCAUUUUAAGCCCAAUCCCUUUACUAUCAGAUUUAAAGGGGCCGUUUGCACCGCGCCACUGAGGCUGUUGCAUAUGAUUUAUUGAACAGGAUGCCAAAGACCUGUAAAAUGAUCGCACUAGUUUUCUUGAACAAAUGAGCACAUAUCAGAGUCUUUAAAAACACUCCACGCCCAAAACAGGUUUACUCUUCACUAAUGAUGUAAUAUGCACAGAGGGCGUUGUAGGGCUUGGGUUGUUCCCAAACCUGUGUUUUUUCAUCAGGUAUAAAGAGAGCUGCCUUCCUCUGCCUUUCACUCCAUCUGCAGCUCUGUCAACCCGUGUUUGUCUUCUGUUCCAUUCUUAACCAUGUCAACACCGCAAGCCGUCGGCAUCACAAAGCUGAAGGUAGUCGUUACCCUCCUGGUUGAGACCUACAAGGAGUAUGCCAGUGCUGGGGCUGUAAGAAGACCUUAGACCACAACGAGUUGAAGACUCUGAUACAGACUGAGUUUCCUGAACUGCUCCAGGACCCAAGGUGCCAGAAGGAGAUGAAAGAGGUGACUGCUCUGUUCGACCAUGACGGAGAUGGUGUGGUCACCUUCGAAGAGUUUGCUUCGACCAUAUCUGCUCUGUCCUGUUGCAUGAACCAAAUGUCCCAAUGAGUGAACACUGCGUCCGCACCCUUGGGUGGGGCCAAAUGACACAGAAUAAAUCCCUGUGGUGACUGUUUUCUUGAACAACUGAAUAAAAAUCACUAACUUACCAUUUA